AAAAAAAAACGGUCGUUGCUCCCGCGAUUCUCUCCGACGACUUCGGACGUGAUUUUUUCCGACUUCGCCGCCGGCGACUUGAGCUCCGAUUUCGCCGGCGAUUUGAGCUCUAAUUUUACCGGCGAGUUAGCUUCCAAUAUCGCCGUAGCUUCCAAGCCGAUAAUCUGCUCCCAAAGUGAGCUUCCUCUUCAACGGCAAAAGUAAAUCCGAUCUCGUUUUGAUUUGUAGAUUAAUGUGAAUUUCUUGUUGGAGUUAGUUGUUCAUAACAUAAAAUUGUUGUAUUGUUCAUUCUGGGCUGUUUUAUCGUUUUGAAUCAGAGAGUUUAGUGAGUGUUCAAUCGAAAUUUAUGAUUUGUGAAACCCAGAAUUGACGAACUGGGACAAAUGGUAAAACUUAGAUAUCAUAGUAUAAGCGGUACAAAUGUUUUAUUGAGAUACAAUAGGACAGGUGGUACAAAUGGUAUUAGUGAGUUAUAAUAUAGGUAUAAUUAUAUCUAAAUCUAAACGAUUACGUAAUUGUGUUUUUAUAAUUUAUUUGUAAUUACAGGAGACGAUGAAGAACAAGCACACAUUCAUACAAUUUGACAAUGGGUAUUAUUCAGAAGAGCAUGAGUGGAUUUCAAACAAUUCUUUAAGCGGUGUAUUGUUGAGGACGUCAAAGGUAACAUACUCUAUGUUAGUAGAAAAGAUAUGCAAGAAGAUUGGAAUAGAUGAAACCUCAAGGAAGGUAAAAUUGAGUUAUAUUCUAUGCACAUCUCAGAGAGAGACAUCUAUUGUAGAUGAUGAUGACUUUUUAGGUUAUCUAAUGGUAGUGAAUGCUAAGGGAAUUAGACCAGCUUUGAACGUGGAGGUAGUAAAUAAAGAAUCUGAGAGGGUGAAACAAAUUUCAAGGGUAAAGGGAAGAAGUUCAGUUGGUGUUAAUUAUGAGGAGUUGAAUGUUUGUACCGUGUACUUGUGCUGUAUGUACUAUUGCUUUAUGUAUUAUGUCUUCAUUUUUAAGUACUUUGGAAUUUUCUUAAGUAUUGUGUUGUUAUGUCUGUACCGUGUACUUGUGCCGUCUGAACUAUUGCUUCAUUUUUAAGUAUUUUGGAAUUUUGUUAAGUGUUAUUAUGUAUGUACCUUGUACUUGUACCGUAUGUACUAGUUUUUUCAUGUUUAUCUCUUACAAUAAAACCCCUCCUAUAUAUAUAAGAAAGAAUUAUACUUUUAAUAUUAUUUCUUUUUAC
rnacentral:sRNA from 1 species